UUAGGUAGAAUUUUCAAAUGUGAUUAAAAGCGCAAUUAUGAUGAAAUGUCUUGUGCUAUUAUGAUAAACGAUCGUUGAAUGCGAAUAUAGUGAUGGCUAGAUGAAUUAGAUCUUUAUGUUUUUAUUUAAAGAAACCUGCAAUCUUAAUUUCUUUUAAAUAAUGCUUAUCGUUUAGGCGUGAGGACGCAACAGUAUCUAACAAUAUCAGUGUUCAGCAUAAUUUUUUAUGUCAGUCCAGUGGUUGAGCAGCACUGAAUUAAUGUGUUACAAGGAAUAUAAAUCAACAAAUGAUGUCGAAAAAUUUUUG